ensembl:lncRNA
AAAAAAAAAAAAAACCCAAAUAGUCAUAUUGUUGUGUAUAGAGGCAACUUUAUUGAGUUGUUUUCUUCAUGUAAUUCAUUUGCACACAGUGACAGUAUUUUGUAUUUACUCCCAUCCCAUACAUAGAGGUGAAGUGGAAGCCAUCUGUGAGUUCAGAAUCCUGACCGUAUUCCUCCAUCCAGGCCUAUGUUAAGGAUGAUGAAUUUUGGAACGUAGUUCUUCAGUUAAAUGUCUGAAUUGCUUUCAAAAUGGCAGUGGUGGGUUCUUGUGGGAGGUGACUGCUGCCAUCAACAUGUCUUUGCCCCCUUUUAUUGCCAUUGUCUGGGGGCUAAUAAUUUGCCUUCAGAGAGUGUAGCGAUAGGUGAGGAUGCAGCACCAGCCUCAACAGCACAUAGCACAGCAAUAGCAGCAUCAUGAGCAAAAAGCACCAGCAGGAGUUUGAGUAGGUCCCACUUAAACCUGUGUCACUUCUUUAGGAGAGUGGUAUGGGGGGAUCUCUGGCACUGGAGAGGGGCCCUGGUAAAGCUGCUUGCUUGGGUCCCCUGUCACUUCUCUUCCCAGUGGCCAAUGAGUAGAUUUCACUUUUCCCUAUUUUUAUUUUUUCUCUUCUUCCCCUUUCUCUCUGGUUUGCAUUUUUACUCCACAUAUUAGCCUUGGGGUUUGCUGGCAGCUGCAGACUCAACUGAUGGGUCUUUAUGCAUGUGAACCCAACUCAACAUUCUUUGCAGAGCAGCUGUGUGUGGCUGCAGCUCUGUAGGUGAAAGAUGCUUCUCUUGCCAUCUGCUGUUCCUGUGCUCUGUCUCUUGAACACUACCAGCUUGCAUUGCUCCUCUCUCCGUCUGCUUCAGGAAGGCUAAAGAUGUGGUGAGGCUCUGGCACAGGCUGGAUGGCAACCUGGUCUAGUGGAAGAAGUCCCUACCCACACUAGGGGGGUUGGAACUAGUUGGCAUUUGAGGUUCCUUCCAAUCUCCAAGUAUGUCCAAAUAAGUUAUUCGCCUUGGUUGACUCCUACUGCAUUUAGGAAAGCAGCACAUGCUCAUCCUGAAGGCAUGGAUUUACAGCAAGAAACAUUUAAUUUCAUCACCGAUUUCUCCUCUUAAUGGAAAUAAAACACAAGGUUGUAGAUACGGAUGGGUUGGAUCAAAGAAUUCCUCACCUUUAAUUCUGGGAUGGGGAGGGAAGGGAGGAUGUCAGCAUGUAAUUUGCGUUUUGCCUGCUUGUUGCCUAUUAGAAAACUGUCUGUCAAGCAGCAAAGGUGCCAGUAGAUGAACGAAGUGAGCAGUCUGCUCUGCUAGCAGGAUCCUCAUGUAUUUGCCAAGAGAGCAAAUCUCUCUUGUAACGAGAGCCAUGUGCUGCCUGGGGUUGUCUUGCUCUCUCAGCCCAACCUAGAAGUGACUGUGGCUGAGAUGUGCAGGUCUGCAGAACUUCUGGCUGAUGUGGCAAUCAUGGUUCCUUUCUGGGAUGUGAACUUCCAAAGGAACUGAAGCAAGACUUCUGUUUGUUCACAGAGCUGAAAUAAUGUAGAAGCCAGGCAUGUGGUUCUUUUAGAGACCUUGGGAAAGUUAUACAGAUUUUGGUAACACCUUCAAUUACAGAAAACAUUCUUCUGUUUAACUGUGUUGAGCACAGCCAAGAAAUAACUUGUAAAAGAUCUGUGGCAUUCAAGGCAUCCCGUUUCCCUUUCCUUUUAUUUUCAGCAGAGAUGCUGGAUGGGAGGUUCUCCCUGUCUGAACACUGUGCCCCAGGAAGCCCUCCCCUCCACUGCCAUUCUCUGAACUGAACAAAUCACACACACAGGUACAAAUGUGAUUAGUAAUGCAUUUUGAGCUCUACUGAAAUUGUGAUACUGCUUUGAAUAUGAGCGAGGUGGGAAAUUUAAAGGAAAAAAAUUUGCAUUCCUUACAUUUCCAUACAAGUGCAGACCCUGAGGCUUUAGAACCUGCUCUGGGCAGCAAUCCUGGGUUCUUUUCUUGUACAGAAAGGAUAACAUUUGGCAUACUGUGAGAAACAGAAGCAAGAAGAAAAGGCUUUGCCUUUUUCCAGUGUAGAUUUUAAUCUCAAACUUGUUUGUACAGACACAGUGACUUACAUUCACUGAUGCACCUUGUUUCAGUGGUGUCUCCUGUUAUGAUAAUGUGAACCUGAAUCAGCAAGAAGUCUUUCCAUGAACUUCAGCGAGCUCCCCAUUUUAUGUUGAUUGUUUGUCAUUAAUGCAAUGUUUCCUACAACUGAGAUAUGCAACAGUUCAGAUUUAGCACAGGACCACUGUUCAAGUGUGUAUUUUAAAAGGCCCAGAUUGGCAAUUUCCCAACGUCCUGCUUGAUAUUUAGAUUUAUGCUAUAGAACUAGUGCAGCUUACCUUAGCUUUUCAGAGGAUGAGACAUAACUUCACUGAUGCUAACAGAGUUCAUACGGUAUAAAUGUGGCGUGGCAAAGAGAAAGGUGAAAUGUACCUGCAGGCCAGAGCCUCAGAAUAAAGUAGCAUCACUCCUUUCUAUAACAUUAAUUAAGCACCUGCUGUAAAGUAAAUGAGUUAUGAUAAUUCUUGAUAACUGAUAUCACUGCGGAACGCCUAAUGUAGAAUAUUUCUCCAAGUAGAAACCUUUCAUUUUUCUGCUGGUUUACGGCAGGAACAUUACUCCUAGAGCUUCAGAAUGCCACAGUAAAGAGCCUGGAGGGGUGUAAAUCAGCACUGUUCUGCCAAGCACUUCUGAUGAGUGCUGAUGUGGUCUCGCAGAGCACAGUGUUGCUGUGAUGGUUGACAUCUCCUGAAGAUUUACCCUGCAUGUUUAGAAGUGUGACUGUAACUGGAGCUGAAUUGUGCCUUGCUAUCCUUACCCAAGGUUGCAUAAAUUGAUAGUGAGAAAGAAGAGUUUUCUCAUUACAGUCUAUCAAUGGAAGCUUCUUAAAGAAAGAGAAAUUCAUUCUGUAGAUCAGAUUUUACCACCCCAGGGGCUGAACUGAGUCCAAGCUCACUGCAAAGGAGUCGCAGUUAACAGAAAGUAGUACUGAUAGUAAAAAUAAAUAUUAGAUUAGGUACUUUUUAGAGGUAAAGCUUCAGCAGUUGAAAAGGGAGGCAAGAACAUGCAUAAUACCAGGUAAAGGAGAUUGCUCCCAGAAAAGAAAGAGCUUAUUUUUAAAUGUGCCUCCAAAUAACUCUGUUAUAUUAUUAACACAUCCUUUCAACUUGGGUCAUGGCUGAAUUAAGCUUCCUACACAGGUUGUGCUAUAGAUAUAAACGUAUACUCAAAGUCACAUAAAAGCAAUCCAAUCCUAUUUGCAUUGUCAGUCCAUGAUACAAAAUGCUGUAAUGACCUCUUUUUUUUAAGUCCAGUGCUAUCUAUAAAACAGGCUUAGGCCUUUUUGUUCUUAAAGAGGUCAGCUGUUGCUUUGCUUUCUUAAUGAGCUUCAGACAUUCCCAGAGAGCUUUCUAAUAUUGCAGACAUACCUAGCCCCAGGCAAGACACUUGCAGCCUCUGCCAACACCUAAGCUUUGCAGACAGAUCACAUGUGACAGGUUAUGCAACUCAGCUGGGCUUUAUAUACGAGUUCGAUGUUAGCAUUUAAGGAACUUACAGGGAAAAGAGCUCCAGGGACUGAAAUUCAACAAAGACUUAGAAAUAAUGGUUAUCCCUCUGCGGAGAAUGACACCUGGGUAUAUAAGGUUGCUGCAGACUCAAGCUGCAGGAAAAAUAGUUAUCAACUCAUCAGACGUACUGCUGCAACGGGCAGCCUUGCUCCUGGGCAUGUUUGGGAUCAGUCUCUCCAGCUACAGCACACACCAGCUGGCUCAACAGAAGAGACUUUCCGUGACCCUUUAAGCUGCGCUGGGAUGUGACCCGACAAAUAAAUGCUUGUGUCAGAAAUGCUGACAAGUAGCUUUUCUGUCUCCGUUGCUGGUGUGGAGGUAAUGAGACACGUUACAGCCUCAAUUUCUACAUGCAGAGUUAAAAAGAUGAAAGAAUACAGACUUCUUCAGGGGAAAAAAAAAAAGUAUCAUGACUGAUGGAAAUCAGAUAUCCAAGAACUUGUAAAUACAGUGGAUCUCGGUGGUCUCGUGACGUCCCUUCCAACCCCUGCAAUUCUGUGAUUCUGUUUGUUAUCCAGCAUAUACAUAAAGAGACGUCCAAAUGUAUAUGAUACAGCUUACAUUAGAGUAGAUGUAAACAGAUGGAUGAGGGUGCCAUGCUUAUUUAGCAUCACCUUGCUACAGCUUUUGCAAAUUGACUCCUAUACAAAGACUGGUUUUGAGAAGGAAAGUCAGAAACAAUAUAUUCCUCAUGAUAAGAGUCAAGCCAGAUAAAGAGAAUCUUUUGUAGGCUGUUUGUACUUUCAUAUCUAUGUGAGUUACAGGAAUUGUGCGCUCUAACCGUUAACAUUGAAACUCAAGCUUUUUUAAUGCCUCUUGUACAGAAAUGUGUGUGCGUUGUAGCACACGCUGAUUUCUUUGUGCAACAGCAGAGAUGGCUGAAGGCUCCGCCAUCAGUACACUGCUGGAAAGGAACCAUGACAGCAGUCCGGAUGACUCUGUGAUCCUGUACACAAACCCUCUAGUCUAGAAAGCACCAGUAAAAAAUUUGGGUUGAGUUUUGUUGUAGAGUUAAACGUCUGAUUGUAUUCCUCUGCAGAAAGCCCUCAUCUCAAAAUAUACGUGCUGAUUAAAAUAGACAUUAGCCGUCCUUCCUUUUCCCAUUUUCUUGUUCCUCUUACUCAAUAUAAUAGCUUAUUCAGGAAUGUUCUGUUACUGUCGGUUAGCAUUUUUCCAACUGUUUCCAAUGCUCUGUGUAAACAUGGCUUUGUAGACUCUUCCAUGCAUAUGUUACUGUUUGAAAUGCUUUGUUCUCACUUAAUAAAUGCAAAUAUAUUUUUUCGGUGUUUAAAUUUGUUUCUUCUGUCAACAGUAUUUAUAUUCAACCACUAAGGGGCAUCCUUCACAGCUGAAUGCUCUGUAGUCUUCAGAUUGCUCAGCGCAACAUUACAAACCACACAUGGAAUCAGGUGGAAGUUCCUACCUGUCCUUUUCAG